rnacentral:rRNA from 1 species
UACGAAGGGUGCAAGCGUUACUCGGAAUUACUGGGCGUAAAGCGUGCGUAGGUGGUUUGUUAAGUCUGUUGUGAAAGCCCCGGGCUCAACCUGGGAAUGGCAAUGGAUACUGGCAAGCUAGAGUGCGGUAGAGGGUAGUGGAAUUCCCGGUGUAGCGGUGAAAUGCGUAGAGAUCGGGAGGAACACCAGUGGCGAAGGCGGCUACCCGGACCAGCACUGACACUGAGGCACGAAAGCCAGGGGAGCAAACGGG